UGACGUCAAGUCCUCAUGGCCUUAUAUCCAGGGCUACACACGUGCUACAAUGGCCGGUACAAAGGGUCGCAAUACCGCGAGGUGGAGGCUAAUCCCAAAAAGCCGGUCUCAGUUCGGAUUGGAGUCUGCAACUCGACUCCAUGAAGUCGGAAUCGCUAGUAAUCGCGUAUCAGCGUGACCGCGGUCGAAUACGUUCCGGGCCUU
rnacentral:rRNA from 1 species